rnacentral:rRNA from 1 species
GACGAACGCUGGCGGCGUGCUUAACACAUGCAAGUCGAACGGUGAGGCUUUGCUCUUGUAGGGUGCUCGAGUGUCGAACGGGUGAGUAUCACGUGAGUAACCUCCCCUUGACUUUGGGAUAACUUCAUUAAACUGGGUCUAAUACCGGAUAUGAGCUCCUGCUUUAUGUUGGGUUUUGUAAAGAUUCGGCGGUUGGGGAUGGACUCGUGGCUUAUCAUCUUGUUGGUGGGUUAGUGGCUUACCAAGGCAUUGACGGGUCGCCGGACUGAGAGGGUGACAGGGCACAGAGGGACUGAGAUACGAGCCAGACGGAUACGGGAGGAAGGAGUGGGGAAUAGUGCACGAAGGGCGGAAGGAGGAAGGAGGGACGCCGCGUGGGAGAGGACGGUCGUAGGGGUGUAAACCGCGUGAGCCUGGGAAGAAGAGUGAGUGACGGUAAUGGAUAAAGAAGCAACGGCUAACUACGUG